UGGAGGUGUCCCCCCAGGAUCCACCUCUCAUGGCGAUGGACCUGUCGAAGGGCUACUCGGUCAACCCGCUGACCCGCGGCCACACCGAGGCCAUGGACCUGGCAAAGAAGCCCGAGUGGUACCACAGGCGCCCGCCGGGCUGCAGCGCCGACAUCGGCUCCCCGUUCAGAUCCAGAGCCGCGUCCUCCUACGGCGCCCAGCUGCACCCGGAGCCCGGAGCGCCCGUCCGCUGCAGGGACGCGGAGCAGGGCCCCGAGUCGCUGGGCAACUACAUGAAUUCGACGCUGGCUCCCGGGUUGGAUCUGUACCGCGACGGGGUCCACGGCGGCCUGUGGCACCCGGGCUUCUACGGGCCCGACCAAACCGGCGGCCCGGUUCUCGAAAGCGGCAGCAGCAGCAGCAGCGGCGGCGGCGGCGGGGAGGAGAGCGACAGCGGCUCCGACGUCAUCUUCCUGGUGUCCUCCGCCAAGGAGCCGCUCUCAUGCGGCUCCUUCCUCCAGGACGACGUGAGGCGCGUCGCGGCGCCGUCGUCCCCGGCCGUGUCCUCGCCGGAGGAAGCGAGAAGCUGCCGUCACCUGCCUCGGCCUCCGAGCUCGCCGAGCCCCGACUCGUUGUCGGAAGACUCCUCGGCGAGCUCGGUGGACAUCCCCGUCCACCACACCCGACCCGUGGUGCUCCUGUCGGACCUGGCCGCCGUUUACGCCUACCCCGCCGGAUCGCCGGUGGACAUUUCGAGCGACGACAGCGACGUCGUCGAAGUUCCGAUCGCCGCCGACGGCGAGAAGGAGGCGUCGCCCCGUAAGAGGAGUCUGGCGAGAGAAACGCCUCCGCGGAGCGAGGACGAGAAACUUCAACCCAGAGAGGUUCGACGGAGCACCAGGAUCCGCAGAUCGGCGUCCGACGCGCCUCCGUUCUCCUCUUGCGGCGCGUCCCGGCACAGCUUGAGGAGACGGGCCAAAAGCGACGCGGUGGGCAUCUACAACGAGAGCGGCGACUCGGACGGCGUGGCGAUGGACUACGCGGCAAGGCUGUGCAGCUCGGACGCGGACGAGGAGGCCACCUCGCGGCCGGACGCGGUCGAAAGGGUGAGCGGCAACUCGGAGGAGUCCGACGUGGACGGGAAGUCGCCAGAGAGGAAGUCGCCAGAGAGGAAGUCGCCAGAGAGGAAGUCGCCCAAACGGCGUCCGCCUCGCUGCAAAGUCUCGAACGCCAAAAGCGUCAACCGUAAACGGAAGAAGCCCCUCGGCCUCUGCGAGACGACGGCCGUACGGACUAAACGGAGACAAAACUGCGCCUCCAAAGCUGAGCAGCCGGGAAAGAAAACCAACAAAAAAACGUCGGCGAGACGGAGGAGACGAGUCCGGCGCCCACAGACCGGACCGUCGGCCAUGUUUUCUCCCAGGGAGCCGGAGAUCAAGCUCAAGUACGCCAACAUGGCGGGGAAAAAAAAGAACAAGAAGCCGGGAGCGUUUUUCCCGUUCGUCCACGUGAAGGAGAAGACGUGCACCGUGGUGAACUACCAGGAGGAGGAGGAGGCGGUCCGGAGCAGCAGGGGCCGGCGGCCGGGAGCCACCGGCUCGCCGACCGGGUUCGUCCCCGGGACCACCUGCUUCCGGUUGGGUCGACCCGCCUCAGACGGCGGGUGCCCGGCGACGCCGCUGUGCAGCCUGUGCGGUCACACGGCCAACGCCACGGGCCUCGGGGACCUCCACGGCCCGUACCGCCCCGCCAACCCGCCGCCGGAGCGGCGAGAGGAAGAGCGCGUGGUCGUCAGCAGGCGCUCGGUGAACGCCUCCGAGGACGGCUGCGACGGUUACGACUGCGCCGGCGCCGUCUCCGGCGUCUCUCUCCCGACGCCGGCGCCCGUUCGUCUGGACGAGGGCUGGAUCCACGAGGACUGCGGCAUCUGGUCCGCCGGCGUCUUCCUGGUCCGAGGGAAGCUGUACGGGUUGGAGGAGGCGGCCCGGCUCGCGCAAGAAACGAUAUGUUCUGCGUGCCAACAAAAUGGUGCGAUUAUGGGAUGUUUUCAGAAGGCCUGUCCCAGAAAUUAUCACUACAGAUGUGCCAUUCAGUCGGGUAAAGUACAGAACUGCUCCAGGACCUUUUUUGUGUAUUUAAGCGUUUUAAAUCUCAUUUUGUGCGUCUGUUGUUUCAGGCUGUGUCUUAAACGAGGAAAACUUCUCAAUUAGAUGUCCGCAGCAUAAGAACAAACUGUUGACGGUUGUCACCAGGCAACACAAGAGAUGACCUGAAAGACAUUCGGGGGGAGCUGGAGAAUGAUCCACAGAUCUCCUCGGCUGUUUUUAAAAAAAAACAAGAAAAAACACUAAUUAAAAUUAGUUAACGUGAGAUUUCACAUCAAAGACGGAUCAAUCAGGGGCCACUUUAUUUAUAAGAUGUGUCUUUGUCUCUUUAAGUAAGUGUGUGUGUGUGUGUGUGUGUGUGUGUGUGUGUGGAUAUUUAUUCCUCCUCUUGAAGAUCCACAAACACAUUUGUAUUAAUUGAACAUAGUUAUAUCAGAGUUUAAAUGAGCUUUAUUGAUUUGUGAUAUCUUUUAUACGAGGCCACUUCUUUUCAGUUUUUUUUAUUUUAUUUUUUUGUACAACCUUUUUUUCAAAUUGCUGUCGCGCUUCUUCAGUCGCAUCUCAAAAACAAACGUAUUUAUUUUCAUAAAGCUGCAUGCACAGGUGACGUUUGCUACAAUGCACUUUAUCAGUUGUUAUUUAUGUCGAUUUGUAGACUUUUAACGUCCCCUUUUUACUCUUAUUAUUUAAAUUUAAUAUACGUUUUUAAAGCCUCUAAACGGAGACCACAAACUGUACAUUCAACUUAUUUGAAGCACAUUUUGUUUUCUGGAUGAAUUUUAGAUAUAAAACGUGAAGAAAGAAGAAGAAAUCUCUCAAACGGCAGCGUUUAGUGGUCGAGUCUGUGAAGUCUUCUUAUUGUUUUGUUUAAAUUUAAAGGAUCAGUUUAACUAAAACCAACAAGAAAACUAUUUUAAUUGAUUUUAAUGAUUGAAAAGAAGGAAGAAAAAAACCACUGAUUCCAGCUUAAGGUUGAGGAUUUGCUUCCGGUCUAAAUUUAUUUAUUUAUUGAUCGUAAAAAAAAAAAAAAAAACUUAA